rnacentral:rRNA from 1 species
CCUACGGGUGGCUGCAGUGAGGAAUUUUCGGCAAUGGGCGCAAGCCUGACCGAGCAACGCCGCGUGCAGGAUGAAGGUCUUCGGAUCGUAAACUGCUUUUCUCGGGGACGAGCAAGGACGGUACCCGAGGAAUCAGCCCCGGCUAACUACGUGCCAGCAGCCGCGGUAAUACGUAGGGGGCGAGCGUUGUCCGGAUUUAUUGGGCGUAAAGCGCACGCAGGCGGUCUUUCAAGUUCGGAGUGACAGUUGUCGGCUUAACCGAGAAAGUGCUUUGAAGACUGAAAGACUUGAGGGCUCAAGAGGGACACGGAAUUCCGGGUGUAGUGGUGAAAUGCGUAGAUAUCCGGAGGAACACCAAAUGCGAAGGCAGUGUCCUGGGGAGUACCUGACGCUCAGGUGCGAAAGCUAGGGGAGCGAACGGGAUUAGAUACCCCGGUAGUC